rnacentral:rRNA from 1 species
AUACGUAGGUGACAAGCGUUAUCCGGAUUUACUGGGCGUAAAGGGCGUGUAGGCGGUCUUGCAAGUCAGAAGUGAAAUUCCUGAGCUCAACUCGGGCGCUGCUUCUGAAACUGCAGGACUUGAGUGCUGGAGGGGAUAGCGGAAUUCCUAGUGGAGCGGUAAAAUGCGCAGAUAUUAGGAAGAACACCGGUGGCGAAGGCGGAUAUCUGGCCGGUAACUGACGCUGAGGCGCUAAAGCGUGAGGGGCAAACAGGAUUGGAUACCCUGCUUGUCCACGCCGUAAACGAUGAAUACUAGGUGUAGGGGGUAUCGACUCCCUCUGUGCCGCAGUUAACACAAGAAGUAUACCGCCUGGGGAGUACGGCCGCAAGGUUGAAACUCAAAGGAAUUGACGGGG